GUUUAACCCCUUCCCUCACUA
rnacentral:tRNA from 2 species